GGCAGAGGGGGCAAGCGUUGCUCGGAAUUACUGGGCGUAAAGGGCGCGUAGGCGGGAUGGCAAGUCGGUCGUGAAAUCCCUCGGCUCAACUGAGGAGCGUCGAUCGAAACUGCCGUUCUUGAGGGUUGCAGAGGAGACUGGAAUUCCCGGUGUAGCGGUGAAAUGCGCAGAUAUCAGGAGGAACACCCGUAGCGAAGGCGGCACUCUGGGCCGAUACUGACACUGAGGAGCGAAAGCGUGGGGAGCGAACAGG
rnacentral:rRNA from 1 species